UAGAGCUGCUAGCAGGACCAUUUUUCACUUAAUCAGUGGUCUCUACUAGUAUUAUAAUUUUGACUGAUAAUUUUAUAUUGUUUGAAGAGGAAACAAUGUUCAGAUUAUAGUAAAUUCUGUAUAUCAGCACCCAUACACUACGGAGUUUAAUGUACAUCACAACAGUCUUUUAAAAUAUGCUACUUGUUUGUUUUGUUGUAGUGUACUGCAUUUAAAAUAUAAAACAUUUAAGACAUAAGAAGAAAAAUAUUGAUACCUCAAUAGAAGCAGGAAGAUUCUGUGGUAUAGUCCUAAAUUUAUUUUUUCCUAGACGCAGGUAGUAUAGGCUCUUCAAAGGUUUGAAAGCUAAAGGAUUGACGCUGGAUUCACUGAGACUGUUUCCUUCCAAUUCUAAGACUUUUUUUUACUUUUGGCCUCUGGGUCUUAAUACUUAUUUUUACUAAAAUAGCAUGCUGCCUUAUGACUAAAGAGGGAAUAAUAUUGCCACAUGAUGCGAAAUGAUAUUUACUCGAAGAUGUUCAAUGUUAUGAUUUACUGUUCAAAAUGCUGCCAUAUAGCAGGCUAUGAAAACUCAAAAAAAAAAGGAGUUUCUUUAUUUUGUCCAAAAUCAAUGUGAAAAGUAACAAGCAGAAAAAAAGAAAACAAAACUGCAAACUUCAUGUUUGAUUUGUCACCAGCCAAUUUCUAGAAUGAGAAUGAAACACAAUUUCGAGGCUCCCUCACCGUCAAUAUUCUCUGGGACAGAAGGCCUUCUCUACACAGUUAGGGAGUGUGAAGGAGACUCUGAAACCCCAUGCAUUUUAAGGACCCAGGAUUGCAAAAGCUUUGCUGCUGUCAUCUUUUAAUGAGAAUUUAAGUAAUCUGCUGAUAUCCAUACACCACUCUCUUAGAGAUCUACUUCAAAACCUAGAGG